rnacentral:tRNA from 1 species
GGGUUUGUGGUGCUAUGUAUAACGCGUCUAACUAUGGAUCAGAAGAUUCCAGGUUCGCAUCCUGGUAAGUUCA